GACAGAGGGUGCAACCGUUGUUCGGAAUUACUGGGCGUAAAGCGCGUGUAGGCGGCUCUGCAAGUCGGGUGUGAAAUCCCACGGCUCAACCGUGGAAGUGCAUUCGAAACUGCAGAGCUAGAGUCCUGGAGAGGAAGGUGGAAUGCUUGGUGUAGAGGUGAAAUUCGUAGAUAUCAAGCGGAACACCGGUGGCGAAGGCGGCCUUCUGGACAGUGACUGACGCUGAGACGCGAAAGCGUGGGGAGCAAACAGG
rnacentral:rRNA from 1 species